GCCCUUUUCUGCCUCCGCCGCCGAUCCGGGGAUGGGAACGGGCUCUGGCCCCCUCGCCCGCUCUGAGGCUUCUUUGGGGCUGUUUUUUUGGGGGGAGGGGGUAUAUAAAUCUGUGCUGAACGUUUGCGGUUGAAUGCCAGGAGUCCGACGUUCAGCUCCGUCGGAUACCACAGGCACACACACACCCGAGGGGUGGGGGGAAGGAGAAGAGGGAGGCAGUCAUCAGGCCCCCUUUCUUCCCUUCUUACCCCCUCCCUCCAAAAAGCCCUUUUGAGCAUCUUGCCAUCAGGAAAGCGCUCACUCCCUCAUCAAGGAAAGCAUCUAGGAAAGCAUGAAAACGCAGUGCUCAGACUUCACAAGUGUGUCAUAGCACUGGGGAAAUCCUUGGUGAAAGCUGCCUGGGAACUGUCAUUUCAGAGAUGGCGUGGAAGGUGUCAAGAAAGAAAGAAAGCAAAGAAAAAGAAGACUAACAGAAAAAUCUGUCACCUCCUAAAUCAGAGUGACAACUUCAGCACAGUGUUUACUCAUGGCAGUAAAAAUAAAUUGUCUGAGACUGAUUGUACCCACAUGCCACUCGCUACGCAACAGGGAUGUCCCCCGGUAUCGGAAACCAGAUGUGAGGAAACACAUGACAAUGGCAAUAGUCGUCAGCGUGGCAGCGGCAGUGACAGGGCUGCUUUCCUUCCAGUUGUAAUAAGUGAAAACAGCGAGAGGGAAGAGCGAUGUGUCACUGCUUCCCGCCACACCAAUGCACUUGCGUGGAGAGGGAAGAGUGACUUUCAAGAGUCCCAGCAAGGCGCACGGGCGAAUGAGCAAACGGGCAAACAAGCGAUUUGAGUGUAUCUUCAAGCCUUGAUAAAAUAAGCCUGCAUAUGCACAAAGUCUCCUCCUCACUUCCUCGGGGGAAAAAUAUCUGACAGUGGGGAUCCACUCCUGAGCGUCCAGGCUGCGACCUGGGGGUCCGUGACCCCAUCCUUGGUUUUCUUCUGAAGCCCUCACCAUCUCCUCCAGCUCAGGCCAGACCUGCCAGAGCCUGAGGCAAUAGCAGAGGAACCUCCGCUUCUUAAAGUACUACUCAGAAAAGCAUCCCAGUUUGGCACUGGGACAAGACGAGAGCGCUCUUUUCUCAUCUUGAUCGUAGUGCCCCCAAAAACCUUUCUCUCAUUUAUGGUCUUUCCAUAAGGUCUGGGUGCUCAAAGAUGUUCCAAGACACUUGUGGAGCAUCCUGAGUUGUACAUGGGCUGGGCUAGUCCUCACAGGACACUUUCUGUCCCUGCAAGAACUGCUGUCCCUUGACAGGACUGAGCCCUCCACAGACUUUCCGUGCAGCAAGUUCGUCCUCUUUGGUCUUUGGAAAAGGUCUUGCAGUGGUGCAGCCCCUUGAGGAAUGACUAAUUUUGGUGGAAUCAAUCUACCUAGAAAGCUUUUAAUUCUGAAGUAAUUCUUUGCUCAGGGCUAUUGUGGCAUCAGUUACUUUGUGCCUUGCUGCAGUUUCACUGCAGGAGGGAGUGAACAAGCCCCAUCCCUUGUUUAAACUUGCAUAAGGUGACAUAAUGGCAGGGUGGAGGGGAACAAAAACCUCAGCACAGUAAUGUACAGGACCGGGUAUCAUAGUCCCCAGCAGAAGGAGGGUCUCUUCGCUUGCCAGAGCUGGUCACUUCACCUGGUGGCACAGCCAGCAUUGGUGCAGGCUGAGUCGGCAGGGGCUGGGGUUACUCUGUGGCCAGGGUGUAGCAGGGACAAAGAGACAGGGGAGUUCCCCAAGACUCCCACUGCCUGUUGUUCCCACAGCUGUCCAUCUGCACAGCUGGAGACCUCCGGGGGUGAGUGACACCAG
ensembl:lncRNA